AUUGAACGCUGGCGGAAUGCUUUACACAUGCAAGUCGAACGGCAGCACGGACUUCGGUCUGGUGGCGAGUGGCGAACGGGUGAGUAAUGUAUCGGAACGUGCCCAGUCGUGGGGGAUAACGUAGUGAAAAUUACGCUAAUACCGCAUACGAUCUAUGGAUGAAAGCGGGGGAUCGCAAGACCUCGCGCGAUUGGAUCGGCCGAUAUCAGAUUAGGUAGUUGGUGGGGUAAAGGCCCACCAAGCCAACGAUCUGUAGCUGGUCUGAGAGGACGACCAGCCACACUGGAACUGAGACACGGUCCAGACUCCUACGGGAGGCAGCAGUGGGGAAUAUUGGACAAUGGGCGAAAGCCUGAUCCAGCCAUUCCGCGUGCAGGAUGAAGGCCCUCGGGUUGUAAACUGCUUUUGUACAGAACGAAAAGGUUUCUACUAAUACUAGGAGCUCAUGACGGUACUGUAAGAAUAAGCACCGGCUAACUACGUGCCAGCAGCCGCGGUAA
rnacentral:rRNA from 1 species